rnacentral:lncRNA from 1 species
UUUUCUUUAUAAUUUAGACAUAGAUUUUUUUUCCUAUAAAUGUAGGUUUUAUUAUUAUAUAAUUAUUUCAAAAUUUUCAAAGCACCAAAACUAUAAAAAGUUGAUUCUUAAAGCUAAUAUAUAUCUUUUAAAAAAUUUAGAGUAUUAGAUUGAUUUUGGUCACUAAAAUAUGAUUAGUACACUAUUUUGGGGGCUCUGAAAAAACAAGUGUGGAAAACAUUCACUGCACUUACCAAAUCACCUCUACACUCUCGAUAGUUUUUUUUGUCAACACUCUCGAUAGUUUAUAUUUAAGUAUAUAGUGAUAACUGAUAACAAAAUGUAUGAAAAUA